UACGUAGGGGGCAAGCGUUGUCCGGAAUCAUUGGGCGUAAAGCGCGUGUAGGCGGCCCGGUAAGUCCGCUGUAAAAGUCCAGGGCUCAACCCUGGAAAGCCGGUGGAUACUGUCGGGCUCGAGUCCGGAAGAGGCGAGUGGAAUUCCUGGUGUAGCGGUGAAAUGCGCAGAUAUCAGGAGGAACACCGAUGGCGAAGGCAGCUCGCUGGGACGGUACUGACGCUGAGACGCGAAAGCGUGGGGAGCGAACGGG
rnacentral:rRNA from 1 species